UACGUAGGGUGCGAGCGUUGUCCGGAAUUAUUGGGUUUAAAGGGUGCGUAGGCGGCUUUUUAAGUCAGCGGUGAAAUUUUGCAGCUUAACUGUAACAGUGCCGUUGAUACUGGGGAGCUAGGAUUUGGUUGCUGUGGGUGGAAUGUGUGGUGUAGCGGUGAAAUGCUUAGAGAUCACACAGAAUAUCGAUUGCGAAGGCAGCUCACAAAGCCAAGAUUGACGCUGAGGCACGAAAGUGUGGGGAUCAAACAGGAUUAGA
rnacentral:rRNA from 1 species